AGUGAACAGGGAGAAGCCCAAAUUUGUAAUCUGGCACUUUUUACGAGUGUCCGAGUUGUAAUUUGUAGAGCUGUUAUCCGUACUGGACCAUGUACAAGUCUGUUGAAAAGCAGCAUCGUUGAAGGUGAAAAUCCUGUAGAUGAUAUGGACUACCAGUAUAUUUGUGAUACGGUUUCUAAGAGUCGAGUUGUUUGGGAAUGCAGCUCAAAGUGGGUGGUAAAUUCCAUCUAAGGCUAAAUAUAAGUGAGAGACCGAUAGCAAACAAGUACCGUGAGGGAAAGAUGAAAAGAACUUUGAAAAUAGAGUUAACAGUACGUGAAAUUGCUGAAAGGGAAACGUUUGAAGUUAGUUUUGUAUUCGUCGGAUCAGCUUCGCAAGGAGUGUAUUCUGAUGAUAAGCAAGUCAACAUCAGUCUAUGAGUGUCGGAGAAGGGUUUUGAGAACGUAGCAAUUUAGUUGUGUUAUAGCUUGAGACUUGGAUACGGUGCUUUGGAUUGAGGAACGCGUAGUAAGCUUUGAGCGGAUUCGAAAGGAUCUCCUUACUAUGGAUGUUGGUGAAAUAACUUUAAGCGACCCGUCUU
rnacentral:rRNA from 1 species